GAGUUUGAUCUUGGCUCAGAUUGAACGCUGGCGGCAUGCCUUACACAUGCAAGUCGAACGGCAGCAUGAUCUAGCUUGCUAGAUUGAUGGCGAGCGGCGAACGGGUGAGUAAUACAUCGGAACGUGCCCUGUAGUGGGGGAUAACUAGUCGAAAGAUUAGCUAAUACCGCAUACGACCUGAGGGUGAAAGUGGGGGACCGCAAGGCCUCAUGCUAUAGGAGCGGCCGAUGUCUGAUUAGCUAGUUGGUGGGGUAAAGGCCCACCAAGGCGACGAUCAGUAGCUGGUCUGAGAGGACGAUCAGCCACACUGGGACUGAGACACGGCCCAGACUCCUACGGGAGGCAGCAGUGGGGAAUUUUGGACAAUGGGCGAAAGCCUGAUCCAGCAAUGCCGCGUGUGUGAAGAAGGCCUCGGUGUAG
rnacentral:rRNA from 1 species